rnacentral:other from 1 species
CGCCGCCUGCGGUGUUCGACACGUGGACCGGGUUACCCUCGGACCUAAUUGAAAACCCAGGGGCGGGUCAUUCGACAGCAUUGUGCAUGUCCGCCCCGAGCGGGAAGCCUUACCUGCCGAUUGCCUGCCCCACCUGUUGCUCCGGUUCGAGAGCAACGGUUCGCACCGGCACCUGCGGGUGGCGC